rnacentral:rRNA from 1 species
UGGGGAUUUUCCGCAAUGGGCGAAAGCCUGACGGAGCAACGCCGCGUGAGGGAUGAAGGCCUCUGGGCUGUAAACCUCUUUUAUCAAGGAAGAAGAUCUGACGGUACUUGAUGAAUAAGCCACGGCUAAUUCCGUGCCAGCAGCCGCGGUAAUACGGGAGUGGCAAGCGUUAUCCGGAAUUAUUGGGCGUAAAGCGUCCGCAGGCGGUCUUACAAGUCUGUCGUUAAAGCGUGGAGCUUAACUCCAUUUCAGCGAUGGAAACUGUAAGACUAGAGUGUGGUAGGGGCAGAGGGAAUUCCCGGUGUAGCGGUGAAAUGCGUAGAUAUCGGGAAGAACACCAGUGGCGAAGGCGCUCUGCUGGGCCAUAACUGACGCUCAUGGACGAAAGCCAGGGGAGCGAAAGGGAUUAGAUACCCCUGUAGUC